CAGGAUGAACGCUGGCGGCGUGCCUAACACAUGCAAGUCGAACGGGGUAUAUAAGCGGAAGUUUACGGAUGGAAGGUUAUAUACUUAGUGGCGGACGGGUGAGUAACGCGUGGGCAACCUGCCCCGUGCCGGGGGAUACCGCCUGGAAACAGGCGCUAAUACCGCAUAAGCGCAUACAGCCGCAUGGGUGUAUGCGGAAAGCUCCGGCGGCACGGGAUGGGCCCGCGCCCGAUUAGCCAGUUGGCGGGGUAACGGCCCACCAAAGCGACGAUCGGUAGCCGGCCUGAGAGGGCGGACGGCCACAUUGGGACUGAGACACGGCCCAAACUCCUACGGGAGGCAGCAGUGGGGAAUAUUGCACAAUGGGGGAAACCCUGAUGCAGCAACGCCGCGUGGGUGAAGGAGCGUUUCGGCGCGUAAAGCCCUGUCAGCGGGGAAGAAGAAAGACGGUACCCGACCAAGAAGCCCCGGCUAACUACGUGCCAGCAGCCGCGGUAAUACGUAGGGGGCGAGCGUUAUCCGGAAUUACUGGGUGUAAAGGGAGCGUAGACGGCGAGGUAAGCCUGAAGUGGAAGCCCGCGGCCCAACCGCGGAACUGCUUUGGGAACUGUUUUGC
rnacentral:rRNA from 1 species